rnacentral:misc_RNA from 1 species
ACACCUCAACUCUCAUGGCUUGCCAUGAUGAGCUUGGACUUUGGGGGUCUUGCUGGCCUGCGGUCGGCUCCUCUCGAAUGAAUCAGCUUGCCAGUGUCUGGUGGCGUCACGGGUGUGAUAACUAUCUACGCCUGUGGUUUUCUGCUAGGUAACCUUCAGCGAUGAAGGUUCGCUGGGGCUCAUAAAUGUUCUCUCCUCAGUGAGGACAGCUCUUUGAAU